GGGGAAUAUUGGACAAUGGGCGAAAGCCUGAUCCAGCCAUGCCGCGUGUGUGAAGAAGGUCUUCGGAUUGUAAAGCACUUUAAGUUGGGAGGAAGGGCAGUAAGUUAAUACCUUGCUGUUUUGACGUUACCAACAGAAUAAGCACCGGCUAACUUCGUGCCAGCAGCCGCGGUAAUACGAAGGGUGCAAGCGUUACUCGGAAUUACUGGGCGUAAAGCGUGCGUAGGUGGUGGUUUAAGUCCGUUGUGAAAGCCCUGGGCUCAACCUGGGAACUGCAGUGGAUACUGGAUCACUAGAGUGUGGCAGAGGGUAGUGGAAUUCCCGGUGUAGCAGUGAAAUGCGUAGAGAUCGGGAGGAACAUCAGUGGCGAAGGCGACUGCCUGGGCCAACACUGACACUGAGGCACGAAAGCGUGGGGAGCAAACA
rnacentral:rRNA from 1 species